rnacentral:rRNA from 1 species
CUGGCUCAGGAUGAACGCUAGCUACAGGCUUAACACAUGCAAGUCGAGGGGCAGCAUGGAGGUAGCUUGCUACCUUGAUGGCGACCGGCGCACGGGUGAGUAACGCGUAUCCAACCUGGCCCUUAGUAGGGGAUAGCCCGGCGAAAGUCGGAUUAAUACCCUAUGUUAUCCGAAGAUGACAUCAGACUUGGAUCAAAGAUUAAUCGCUAAGGGAUGGGGAUGCGUCUGAUUAGCUUGAUGGCGGGGUAACGGCCCACCAUGGCCACGAUCAGUAGGGGUUCUGAGAGGAAGGUCCCCCACAUUGGAACUGAGACACGGUCCAAACUCCUACGGGAGGCAGCAGUGAGGAAUAUUGGUCAAUGGUCGCGAGACUGAACCAGCCAAGUAGCCGUGCAGGAAGACGGCCCUAUGGGUUGUAAACUGCUUUUAUGCGGGGAUAAAGUGGGCCACGUGUGGCCCUUUGCAGGUACCGCAUGAAUAAGGACCGGCUAAUUCCGUGCCAGCCGCCGC